GAAAAAAUAACUGGAGAGGUCUGAUGGCUUAUAGCUGACUCAGGCGCCGAAGGUGUAAGACUGGAAGUACAGUCGAUCUCUCAGGCAAAAGGACAGGAGGAAAAAA
rfam:Eubacterium sp. CAG:161 genomic scaffold, scf115